AGUGAACGCUGGCGGUAGGCCUAACACAUGCAAGUCGAACGGCAGCACAGUAAGAGCUUGCUCUUACGGUUGGCGAGUGGCGGACGGGUGAGGAAUACAUCGGAAUCUACUUUUUCGUGGGUGAUAACGUAGGGAAACUUACGCUACUACCGCAUACGACCUACGGGUGAAAGCAGGGGAUCUUCGGACCUUGCGCGACUGAAUGAGCCGAUGUCGGAUUAGCUAGUUGGCGGGGUAAAGGCCCACCAAGGCGACGAUCCGUAGCUGGUCUGAGAGGAUGAUCAGCCACACUGGAACUGAGACACGGUCCAGACUCCUACGGGAGGCAGCAGUGGGGAAUAUUGGACAAUGGGCGAAAGCCUGAUCCAGCCAUGCCGCGUGGGUGAAGAAGGCCUUCGGGUUGUAAAGCCCUUUUGUUGGGAAAGAAAAGCAGCAGGUUAAUACCCCGCUGUUCUGACGGUACCCAAAGAAUAAGCACCGGCUAACUUCGUG
rnacentral:rRNA from 1 species